UCUAGAACUCGAGAUAUGGGCUGAACACUUGAACAGUGUCUGGGCUGCAGGACAGAUUCUGACUUCUCCGUUGUUGCUACCAUCUGAACUGGAAAAUGGCACUUUUAAAUCUUGGACUCCUCAUGAAAGUUUUAGGCCUAUGUCUUAGCUUUCCAUA
rfam:Populus trichocarpa isolate Nisqually-1 chromosome 11, whole genome shotgun sequence.